rnacentral:tRNA from 1 species
ACCCGGCUGGUUCAGUUGGUAGAACAUGUGACUCUUGAUCUUGGGGUUGUGAGUUUGAGCCCCAUGUUGGGUC